AAGCAAAGGUCAAAAUCUAGAACGUCCUAUUAACCUAUGACCUUGACCUCAAUUUCAAGGUCACAAACCAAGGAUCUUAAAUCAAAAGACCCUAGGUCUUUAAUAUGUUUGGUUAAAGAGUAAUAUCACUUUACGGGUAAACCUAAAUAUAAGAUACGCAAAAACUCCCAUUUAUUGUCUGCGCACCCUUUCACCAAAAAUAUACAAGUAAGGACAUGUCGCAA
rnacentral:lncRNA from 1 species